rnacentral:misc_RNA from 1 species
GGAAGGAUCAUUAACACUAAUCCAAUCAACUCAACCGAGCCUAUUUGCUGUCGAAGUUUGCUCAAGGUCUGCCUUUACUGGCGCCAGAGUAUCUCCGGCAGCUCAUACAAACCUAAUCCACUGAAAGGAAAGUAACUAAGCUUCUUCCAAAAAUCCAAAUUCUCAACGAUGGAUAUCUUGGUUCCCAUAACGAUGAAGAACGCAGCGAAGUGCGAUAAGCAAUGCGAAUUGCAGAACCGUGAGUCAUCAGAUUUUUGAACGCAACUGGCGUCGGCUGGCUCUCCAGCCGACAUGCUUGUUUCAGUGUCUCUUUAACUCCUCACCCAAACCUUAAUGCGAGAGAUACCCUUCUCUUGCUAAGCGAGGAGGCGCUCCUGCGCUCUGCUAGUGGCUUCAUCUUCGGGUGAAGGCCGCACUCAAUGCAGCAGUCACAUUUUCUUAAUGUGAACUCAUUGAGGGCAGAGGCGUCGAAGCCCUUGGCUUCCCAGCGCCUGGUCCAAUCGACCUUUCUUUGCAUCUGAAAUCAAGCAGGAUCACCCGCUGAACUUAAGCAUAUCACUAAGCGGAGGAGAAGAAAUUAACUAAGAUUGCCCUAGUAACGGCGAGUGAAGCGGCAAAAGCCCAAACUGGAAAUCUGGCGCACCUCGUGUGCCCGAAUUGUAAUCUACAGAGGAUUCACUCAUGUGGCGGCGGAGCAGAAGUGGCCUCGAACGGCCCGCCAGAGAGGGUGACAGCCCCGUUCGUGGUUCCGCAGCCUAACAGAGUGGGUUUUCGAAGAGUCGGGUUGUUUUGUAUUGCAGCCCUAAGUGGGAGAUAAACUUCUUCUAAGGCUAAAUAUAUAUGGGAAACCGAUAGCGAACAAGUACUGUGAAGGAAAGAUGAAAAGAACUUUGAAAAGAGAGUCAAAAGACUUGAAAUCGUUGAGAAGGAAGCGGUAGAAAUUUAUUCUUCGCGGCAGGCCCGUGUUUGCUGCCUAACCAUUGCAGGCCGUCAGCACUGCCAAAGGCUGCGGUUUGCACCUGGGGAAGCGGCAGGCUUGGCCUGUUGCGUGAGGCAAAAUGAGGUCAUCGCCCCGCAAAGGGCUCUGACGCCUGGCUCCCUUCGGGGGGCAGCGUCGGGGAUCCGGCGGGAUGGUGGCCUGAGGAAGCUUCGUGCGAUUUUGCCAAAAUGGUUUUUACCGACCCGUCUUGAAACACGGACCAAGGAGUCUAACAUAUAUGCGAGUGUGCUGGUGGAGAAACCAACACGCGUAAUGAAAGUGAACGAUGCCAAGCUCCCUGCAGCAUCGACCGACCAUGAUCCUCCGGUGAAAGGUUUGAGUAUGAGCAUAUCUGUUAGGACCCGAAAGAUGGUGAACUAUGCCUGAGUAGGGUGAAGCCAGGGGAAACUCUGGUGGAGGCUCGUAGCGGUACUGACGUGCAAAUCGUUCGUCAAACUUGGGUAUAGGGGCGAAAGACUAAUCGAACCAUCUAGUAGCUGGUUCCCUC